CUGACCCUAAAUCCUAGACCCAGAGACCCACAGGAAACCAAGUUCCCCUGUGUGGGGCACGGAGAGCUCACAGCCUGUGAACCAGAGGCCCUCAGAUGUGUGGGUGGCUUUACCCCAGCCAGCCCAGGCCUGCCAUAUGUUCUGAGUUUGGUUGGGAGUCAGCGGCUGUGUUUUCUGUGUUCUGCCUUCCUGGCCCUACAGGCAAGUGUUACAGGGUUGGUUUUCCGUGCACCAGUGAGGGCCCGCUGGUGUUUUCAGCAUGUCCUUGUCCUUUCUGUUAGGACUUCAUAUUGGCAUGUGGUGGCCUUGCCUAUGCCUCUCCCAGUUGCUUUGUGCCUCACCCUAGGUCCCUGUGUGGCUUAGCUGUGGUCCUCUCUCCUGACUUAUGAGUGGGAGACCCCAGUCCCCAGAGAGAGGAGAGCGUCACUCCUCUGAGAGCCAGGGAAGAUUGUGGCAGGGUGUAGAGGGAGACUGAGCAAGGCAAGGUACGUCUGUCUUCCUGGCACUCAGAGGAUGAGGCAGGGUGAUCUCCAGUUUGAAGCCAGCCUGGGCUGCACAUAGACCCCAUGUCAAUAACAAAGCUCAAAAGAUCUUUGCUUUAUAAACAUAUAUAUAUUAAUUUUUAUUUACAAUGAAAAAGUGCAUAUUAUAAACAUGGAUAAAGGAGGGUGGGCCACUGUCAGGCGGACGCCCACCCAGCCUACUCAGGGG
rnacentral:lncRNA from 1 species